rnacentral:tRNA from 1 species
GUUAGGAGUAGUUUAGUUAAAAUAUAAGUUUUGGGGACUUAAGUUGAUUCGUUGGGAUCCUCUUGAA